rnacentral:sRNA from 1 species
CUAUAGCCCUGAUGGCAGUAAAAAUCCUCCCGUUUUUCAGGGAGAUUGCAACGUACAGCAGGAAAUAGC